GCAAGUCGAACGGUAGAGGGGGCAACCCCUCGAGAGUGGCGAACGGCGUGAGUAAUAUAUCGGAACGUGCCCAGUCGUGGGGGAUAACGUAGCGAAAGUUACGCUAAUACCGCAUACGAUCUACGGAUGAAAGCGGGGGAUCGCAAGACCUCGCGCGAUUGGAGCGGCCGAUAUCAGAUUAGGUAGUUGGUGGGGUAAAGGCUCACCAAGCCAACGAUCUGUAGCUGGUCUGAGAGGACGACCAGCCACACUGGAACUGAGACACGGUCCAGACUCCUACGGGAGGCAGCAGUGGGGAAUUUUGGACAAUGGACGCAAGUCUGAUCCAGCCAUUCCGCGUGCAGGAUGAAGGCCCUCGGGUUGUAAACUGCUUUUGUACGGAACGAAAAGGUCUCUCCUAAUACGAGGGGCUCAUGACGGUACCGUAAGAAUAAGCACCGGCUAACUACGUGCCAGCAGCCGCGGUAAUACGUAGGGUGCAAGCGUUAAUCGGAAUUACUGGGCGUAAAGCGUGCGCAGGCGGUUAUGUAAGACAGAGGUGAAAUCCCCGGGCUCAACCUGGGAACGGCCUUUGUGACUGCAUAGCUAGAGUACGGUAGAGGGGGAUGGAAUUCCGCGUGUAGCAGUGAAAUGCGUAGAUAUGCGGAGGAACACCGAUGGCGAAGGCAAUCCCCUGGACCUGUACUGACGCUCAUGCACGAAAGCGUGGGGAGCAAACAGGAUUAGAUACCCUGGUAGUCCACGCCCUAAACGAUGUCAACUGGUUGUUGGGGUCUCACUGACUCAGUAACGAAGCUAACGCGUGAAGUU
rnacentral:rRNA from 1 species